GCAGCAGGCGCGCAAAUUACCCACUCCCGGCACGGNGGAGGUAGUGACGAAAAAUAACGAUACGGGACUCAUCCGAGGCCCCGUAAUCGGAAUGAGUACACUUUAAACCCUUUAACGAGUAUCCAUUGGAGGGCAAGUCUGGUGCCAGCAGCCGCGGUAAUUCCAGCUCCAAUAGCGUAUAUUAAAGUUGUUGCGGUUAAAAAGCUCGUAGUCGGAUGUGUGUCCCACGCUGUCGGUUCACCGUUNGUCGGUGUUUAACUGGCAUGCCCGUGUGGACGUCCUGCCGGUGGAUGCGGUCGGCCGUGGGCCUCUGGUCUGCGCGUCGGCGGUCCGAUGCAAUCCUACCGCGGUGCUCUUCACCGAGUGUCGAGGUGGGCCGGCACGUUUACUUUGAACAAAUUAGAGUGCUCAAAGCAGGCAGUGGUUCGCCUGAAUAUUGUGUGCAUGGAAUAAUGGAAUAGGACCUCGGUUCUAUUUUGUUGGUUUUCGGAACCUGAGGUAAUGAUUAAUAGGGACAGACGGGGGCAUUCGUAUUGCGACGUUAGAGGUGAAAUUCUUGGAUCGUCGCAAGACGAACAUAAGCGAAAGCAUUUGCCAUGAGUGUUUUCAUUGAUCAAGAACGAAAGUUAGAGGUUCGAAGGCGAUCAGAUACCGCCCUAGUUCUAACCAUAAACGAUGCCAGCUAGCGAUCCGCCGAAGUUCCUCCGAUGACUCGGCGGGCAGCUUCCGGGAAACCAAAGCUUUUGGGUUCCGGGGGAAAGUAUGGUUGCAAAGCUGAAACUUAAAGGAAUUGACGGAAGGGCACCACCAGGAGUGGAGCCUGCGGCUUAAUUUGACUCAACACGGGAAACCUCACCAGGCCCGGACACCGGAAGGAUUGACAGAUUGAGAGCUCUUCUUGAUUC
rnacentral:rRNA from 1 species